GACGAACGCUGGCGGGGUGCUUAACACAUGCAAGUCGAACGGAAAGGCCCUGCUUUUGUGGGGUGCUCGAGUGGCGAACGGGUGAGUAACACGUGAGUAACCUGCCCUUGACUUUGGGAUAACUUCAGGAAACUGGGGCUAAUACCGGAUAGGAGCUCCUGCUGCAUGGUGGGGGUUGGAAAGUUUCGGCGGUUGGGGAUGGACUCGCGGCUUAUCAGCUUGUUGGUGGGGUAGUGGCUUACCAAGGCUUUGACGGGUAGCCGGCCUGAGAGGGUGACCGGCCACAUUGGGACUGAGAUACGUCCCAGACUCCUACGGGAGGCAGCAGUGGGGAAUAUUGCACUAUGGGCGGAAGCCUCAUGCAGCACCGCCGCGUGCGGGAGGACGGCCUUCCUGUUGUAGACCUCUUUCGCCUGUGACGAAGCGUGAGUGACGGUAAUGGGGAAAGAAGCACCGGCUAACUACGUG
rnacentral:rRNA from 1 species